GAUCAUGGCUCAGGAUGAACGCUGGCGGCGUGCCUAACACAUGCAAGUCGAGCGAAGCGGUUUUAAGGAAGUUUUCGGAUGGAAUUAAAACUGACUGAGCGGCGGACGGGUGAGUAACGCGUGGGUAAUCUGCCUCAUACAGGGGGAUAACAGUUAGAAAUGGCUGCUAAUACCGCAUAAGCACACAGCUUCGCAUGGAGCAGUGUGAAAAAACUCGGUGGUAUGAGAUGGACCCGG
rnacentral:rRNA from 1 species